rnacentral:lncRNA from 1 species
GUAUAAUUGCAAUACAAUUCUAUCCAGCACAAAAGACGUACGAUUCGUUCAUUUACCGAUUGCCAUAACCUAUAUAUACGCCCAUGCAAUUAGUAAAUUUUGACGAGGAUGACACGGGUGAUGCAUGCAUAUCUAGAGACGUUUAUUGGGCUACCAUUUGAAUUUUAUGUGGGAGGGGUUAGCAUGAAAUUUGACAAGAGUUUUGAGUAAAACAUAAGCAGAAUGAGCACUUGACAAAAAAGGCAGGAUAAAUUAAUAAAAAAUAACAGAACACAGUAGAGUGAAAAAUAAAAGGUAGGACAGAGAUUACAAAUAA